rnacentral:rRNA from 1 species
UUGGGCGUAAGAGCUCGUAGGCGGUUUGUUGCGUCGGCUGUGAAAUCCCGAGGCUCAACCUCGGGUCUGCAGUCGAUACGAGCAAACUAGAGUGUUGCAGGGGAGACUGGAAUUCCUGGUGUAGCGGUGAAAUGCGCAGAUAUCAGGAGGAACACCGGUGGCGAAGGCGGGUCUCUGGGCAACAACUGACGCUGAGGAGCGAAAGCGUGGGGAGCGAACAGGAUUAGAUACCCUGGUAGUCCACGCCGUAAACGUUGGGCGCUAGGUGUGGGGCUCAUUCCACGAGUUCCGUGCCGCAGCUAACGCAUUAAGCGCCCCGCCUGGGGAGUACGGCCGCAAGGCUAAAACUCAAAGGAAUUGACGGGGGCCCGCACAAGCGGCGGAGCAUGUUGCUUAAUUCGAUGCAACGCGAAGAACCUUACCUAGGCUUGACAUGCACGGAAAUCCUCCAGAGAUGGGGGGUCCGUAAGGGCCGUGCACAGGUGGUGCAUGGUUGUCGUCAGCUCGUGUCGUGAGAUGUUGGGUUAAGUCCCGCAACGAGCGCAACCCUCGUCCUAUGUUGCCAGCACGUGAUGGUGGGGACUCAUAGGAGACUGCCGGGGUCAACUCGGAGGAAGGUGGGGAUGACGUCAAAUCAUCAUGCCCCUUAUGUCUAGGGCUGCAAACAUGCUACAAUGGCCGGUACAAAGGGCUGCGAUACCGCGAGGUGGAGCGAAUCCCAAAAAGCCGGUCUCAGUUCGGAUUGGGGUCUGCAACUCGACCCCAUGAAGUUGGAGUCGCUAGUAAUCGCAGAUCAGCAACGCUGCGGUGAAUACGUUCCCGGGCCUUGUACACACCGCCCGUCACGUCACGAAAGUCGGUAAC